GCAUCUAUUAGAUUAAAACCAAUCGGGUUUCGGCCCGUUUGUUGGUGACUCUGAAUAACUAUGGCUGAUCGCAUGGUCUAGAACCGGCGACGUGUCUAUCAAGUGUCUGCCUUAUCAACUGUCGAUGGUAGUUUAUGUGCCUACCAUGGUUGUAACGGGUAACGGAGAAUAAGGGUUCGACUCCGGAGAGGGAGCCUGAGAAACGGCUACCACAUCCAAGGAAGGCAGCAGGCGCGCAAAUUACCCACUCUCGGCAUGAGGAGGUAGUGACGAAAAAUAACGAGACCGUUCUCUAUGAGGCCGGUUAUCGGAAUGGGUACAAUUUAAACCCGUUAACGAGGAUCUAUGAGAGGGCAAGUCUGGUGCCAGCAGCCGCGGUAAUUCCAGCUCUCAAAGUGUAUAUCGUCAUUGCUGCGGUUAAAAAGCUCGUAGUUGGAUCUGCGCCUCAGGACCUGGUCCGCCCACUGGGUGAGAACUGGGCUCCUGGGCUAGUUCUGCUGGUUUUCCCUGCGUUGCCUUCAUCGGUAGCGUAGGGUGGCUAGCGAGUUUACUUUGAAAAAAUUAGAGUGCUUCACGCGGGCUUAUGUCUGAAUACUCGUGCAUGGAAUAAUAGAAUAGGAUCUCGGCUCUAUUUUGUUGGUUUUCUGAUCUGAGAUAAUGGUUAAGAGGGACGGACGGGGGCAUUCGUAUCGCUGCGUGAGAGGUGAAAUUCUUGGACCGUAGCGAGACGUCCGACUGCGAAAGCAUUUGCCAAGAAUGUCUUCAUUAAUCAAGAACGAA
rnacentral:rRNA from 1 species